rnacentral:lncRNA from 1 species
CAUACUAUCUCGAUGACGCCAGCCUUCAACCUGAGUUUCACUUUUCUUCAUUCUGAGGAUGUUAAAGACCAACUCAACAGAGGUUCAAAGUCUUUUUAUUAAGAUCAAACUUGUGGUCAAGCCUGAAAUCGUUAUUAAAACUCCAUGAUCAUCAACUGGUAGCCCCGAACUGUUUCUUACCCAUUAAAACUGGCUGAAAGAAGGGGUAAAAACAUCAAGCUCAAAUAGAGCUUGUCCAUUCAACAAAUAUGUUUUAUAUAGUGAACUAUGAAGGUUGAAAUUAAUUACCUCCGUGCAAGUAAGUCAAGGAAAGCAAAAUGGACCACCACCCCAUGGAUCUCAAGAUCUCUGCGUUUCGGAACCUUUUAGUCAGUCUGCAACUAAGUCCAGUAAAAUGAAUACAAAGAAAGGCAUGGACCAGUGUGCAAGUAACUAAGCACCCAUUUGGCUGCUAUAUCAUCAAUAGAACUUGGGAGGUAGCUCUUCCAAUAGCGUAAUUAACUACCAGGUGCAAUUUUCGAUCAUGUUAAUAUCUCCAAAGUCCUCUGGGAAAUAAGCCACAGCUCCAACCAAACACUUUGUUUUC